rnacentral:rRNA from 1 species
AUUGAACGCUGGCGGCAGGCCUAACACAUGCAAGUCGAACGAGCGGCGGACGGGUGAGUAAUGUAUGGGGACUGCCCGCUAGAGGGGGAUAACUACUGGAAACGGUUGCUAAUACCCCAUUCUGUCGGAUAACCCAUAUGGGAUUAGCUAGUAGGUAAGGUAUUGGCUUACCUAGGCGACGCUCCCGAGCUGGUCUGAGAGGAUGAUCAGCCACACUGUGACUGAGACACGGCCCAGAAUCCUACGGAGGCAGCAGUGGGGAAUAUUGGCAAAUGGGCGCAAGCCUGAUGCAGCCAUGCCGCGGGUAUGAAGAAGGCCCUAGGGUUGUAAAGUACUUUCAGUCGGGAGGCGUUACCGACAGAAGAAGCACCGGCUAACUACGUGCCAGCAGCCGCGGUAAUAC